GCAACGUCUACAACAUCUGUUACUUUAUCAAAAACUUCGAAAUUGGACUUUUGACUUUAGACGUUAUAAAUUUUUCACAUAUGUUUAUUUCUUUAUCUUUUUAAAAUUUUAGUUGUAGUUAAUCUGCUUUGUUUAAGUAAAUUUUCAUAAUGUUUAAUUUCCGAAGGCUGGUUAGGGUGACUUUUACAAACGCUGCGUCGUCGUACCACAUAUAUUCCAGCUAUAAGAAGUAGAUCGCGAUAGCUCGAAAGUCGAGUCCCCUCUCCGGUUUAAUUUUCAGCUCGAUCAAAAAACGGAAUGACGUCUUGAAUUCACUUAUUCCAAAUGAAGAAAUUAAAGAUUUACAGAAUACUAAACCAUAAAUAAAAUAGAAAAGGAAAAAAAUAAUCGACAACGAGAGCAAACGUCAAAUUCGAGAAAAUGAUUGACAGCAAGAAAAAGUUACAGGAAGACGUAUUUUCUCACAAUAUUUUUGGAUACUGUAAUGGGUUUAAAAUUAAGUGGUUCAAGAAGUUAAGAUGAACAAAUUGGAACAGUUAAAAUUUGUUUGUAUAGUAGUAACAAUGAGCGCCGGUGUUGCAUAUUCGUACGGGAUGUUUACAGUGCCUACUCCCUCACUGCCAAGGCGGAACACAAGUGGUGUCAAAACGGAAUCUAAAGAAAUCAGGACAGAGACAGCAAAUGCGCUUCUCGUACCUAGAUCCGCAGCUUUGGAAGUUUUACAUAGUGGUAGCACAAACAGUGAAAACUCUUGAACAGAGACAUUGUACGAAAAUGUGAUAAGCAUACAAUCAACCAAGCGAAGGGAAGUUGUAACUACUUAAUUUGUGUUUGUUUUCUACUUUACAUGAUUUGUAUACCUAUUAUAUUGAUAGGUAAUAUAUUACGCUGAACAUACGUACACUUAUUUCUGUUAUGUUGGUGUUUUAUCAAGUAAAUAGUUAUAAAAUGAAGUUAUUAAAUAAUAUUUUUAUUAUAAUCGUCAAUUUAUAGUUUUUAUUAAGGCAAGUUCCAGAGUCGCUGACGUAGGGAUUGGCAAACUGGAGUUUGUAGGGUACAUGGUAUGGAGAGAGGAAACAGAGGCCAGGAAACAAGGUGGAAAGACGAACUGAUAACGGUCGCAUGGAGCAGGUCGCUUCCAACCAGCUGAUCUGGAAGUAAUUGGGAGGUCUAUGUUCAGCAGGAACGUCUGGUGGCUGAUUUGAUGACGAUAAAGUUCAUUUCAGAAUGCAGUAUAUGUGUGUAUAUAAUCUAUUCUUAUUUUAGUGGCGUCCGUACUGUGGAAUGAUAGUGUUAUGGUAAAAUGAUCUUAAUCGAAAAUUCCAAUUCAUUGAACCGAUAAAGACUAAGCUGGUGGCAUUGACAUGCUUAUGGUAUGAUUCAUAUCGCUGAUAACUAGUUGACGCCCACAGUAAAACGAGAUCACAGCCACAGCGUGGUGAUGAGACUGAAAAUGAUAAGACUUGGAAACAGCAUGCUUGCUUGAUCAAAGGACGUUAUGUAUGAAGUUAUACCAAACGUUCCAUAUUUAACUUUGUAGUGGUGACAUAAAGUUGAAAAUUCAUUAAUGUUUAAUGGUUUAGCUGUACAUAUGAUCAUGCUUUGGAUUCCAAACAUUAGCGACACCUUCUGUGUUGCAGACGUAGUAUAUAGGUUAUGUAUAACAUCUGCUUUCUAUCAAAUGGGUCGUAAUAGCUUGCCAAAGUAUUGUUUUAUGUUAAACGGUUUUAAAUGGGCUCUAUUCUACUUUCUACCAAUCAAGCCUAUUUAUUUGAUUUUCAUGAUGGAGGUAGUUAUGAAAAAUAGAUUAUCUAAUAUCCACGGAAUUCAGAUUUACUAUUCCGUGCCAAUGUCAUUAUGUUCAUCUAAUCAGUCUGUACUAAAUAUCAGUUCGAUCUGUCGUCUGGAAGUGGUUAAAAUUCUUAUUGCCGUAUAACGGGGGUGAAUCGAAUUCAAAGCGUGAAAUGGAUACAGGAAUUGAGUGAAUAGAUGUUUGAAUAUUUUCAAUUCACCUCGUUUUCUGUAUCUAUUUAUUCCUCGAAUUCUAUUCUAUUCACCUCAUUUUACCGUAGUACUUUUGAUCCUAAAAAACAAAAGGGGCAAGCUAAUUAAGUCUGUUUAAUAAGUCUUUGUUAGCGACUUUGUACGCAUAAUUAAUAGGUAAAUCCUGUUUCCACUCUUCGUGCUCCCCUACAAUCUCUCUACAUUACCUAUGUCCCAAGUUUCAGCUUUCCCUAGAAAGCUAGACCUAUCUAGUAGUUUCGGCUGUUUGUUUUCUGUCUGUCUGUCAGUCAGUCAGUAAAUCAGUCACUCGAGUUUUAAUAAUACUAGCUUCUGAUCGGCUCCCAUUGGUCAUAACUUAAUGUUUUAUAGCCUCGAUUAAAAUAAAAUGAAUGAAUAAUGAACGAACGAGUUAUUCCAGCGAUUAGGGUGUUCAAACAAACAAACUUUUCAGCUUUAUACAAGUAAAAAGUAAAAUAAGUAAUAAAAUAGAACAUAAUAAUUAAUUAAAAUAACGUAACACUUUUCGUUAGUGAAGUCACGACUUAAGAAUCCUGUACAGCAGGAGAGGCAAAGAGUAUUGAUGAGAAUUUCGAAAAUCCAAUAAUAAUUUAGCCAACUCGAGAAUGGAAACCGAGCUGGAGUUUUUGACCACUUGAUUAUAGGAAGGAUAUGGGUGUUUGCGGGCUCCGUUUCGCAACCUUCACAGCUAAAGCAAUGAUCUCUAUUUCAUAAAGAAGGAUGUAUGCUUUCAAGACAGAACUCAUACUAUUAAUAUUCCGUUUCACUUUGCGCGUAAGCGUCGUCCCAAAAAGAAAAACAACUGUCAUUAGUUGCUGACAGACAGCAUAAGGUACUGACAGAGCAAGUGACAUAGUCAAUGCUGUUAACCAAAUAAAAUGAAGCAUAAACAAAAAUGUAACAUUAAAUUAUAACCGCAAUCUACAAUAAUCCUAAGAAAUUCAAACAUGACUUUUGCCGACAAACUGUAUGACUUUCUCUGUUUCGGAUCGGCUUUCGUCGUCGGGUAUGCUUGCAUGAGAGAAGUUAUUCAUCAAUAUUCAUCAUAUACAGUCACUGGAUAUCCCAUAAGGAGAAGAGAAGAUGGCCUAAUAGCUGACGAUGAAGAUGAAGAGGAGUGAUGGCGUGUUAUAAGUACUAUUCCUUCUAUUUCCACCAACCAUAUGCUUAGUUAACUUUAGUAAUCUUCUGUGCAAUUUGUGGAGAAUGAGAGAGACUCAUAUCGUAAUUAUGAUUACCUUACUUCAUACGUUAACUCCGUCUGGAUCUUAACCAACGUCCAGAGAGACUCCUUGGAUCAAGAUGCAGGUAUCCGCAAACUGCUGAUACUCAUUGGACUGUAAUCCUUUUGUUGUCUGCUUGUCUUUACCUCAAUGUGUCUUCAAUACAAUAAACUGACUCCAAAAUAAGUAUGAAAAUAAUAACUUUUGUUUUAAUUUUCAGCAUAACAUUGUUUUAAUCCUUGUAGGAUUAGGUACACAUGAUUAAAAUGUAAAGUACUUUUUAUCAGUUAUGGUAUGUGUCCCAUAUCUUCUGUGUUGUGUCCCGACUAAUUAUUUUAUUCUUUGAAGUCUUUUUAAUGGAAUAGGGGGCAAAUAAAUAGACGGGUCACCUGAUGGUAAGCGAUCAGCGCCGCCCAUGAACACUCGCACCACCAGAAGUAUUGACAACAUUUCAUAUUUUUAACAUGAAUGUAUUAUUAUGUUAUAUAAAAGUAAAUCGAAAACUAGGGCACCCAUAUUUUUUCAUUUUUCGAAAUUAUGUACUUUUCAUUCAUAAUUUCGAGUUUGAAAUUCAGUGUAUUCUAAAAAAGACGUAAGUGCCAAAUUACGGUAGAAUGGCGAUAAUACCUUUGCCUCACUUAGAUCCGUAAAAAACCUAGUAGAUGUCAAAUGUACUGUCACUGACAGCUUGUCCAGUGUUGCCAACUUAGUGGAAUUUCCACUAGAUCUGGUGGUUUAGAUAUGUGUUUCAGCGGGAAAAUAUUGGUUUUAGUGGCUAGUGGAUAUUUUACUGGACUAGAUUGUUUCAGUUAGUGGUAAGUUACAAAUUAACCACUAACACUACUCGUAAAAUGCUGUGUGAUUUCUAGUUAAAAAUACUUAAUUGAUACACUUGUUGGCAAGAUAAUAUUGCCUACUCAGAAGGUACAUAUUUUUACGCACAAUAUUAAAGAUUUUAUAGGUAUGAAAUGCUAUUUGGGGUACCAAUUUGAAAUUCACUUAACAUCUAUGAAACAGAAAGUACCACCGCCUGGUCAGGAAACUUGAAACUCAUACUUGAAACUUGAAAACCAGAGUUCAGUAUUUUAAUUGCCCAUCAUACUUACAGAACCAAUUUUUGGCUUCUGCGCAGGCAAUAACAGAAUCAAAACUUUUUUAUUAUUAUUAUUUAUUUAUUUAUUUAUCAAAAGGUACAUACAGUUUUACACAUUAUCAAAAAAUCGCCAAACUGUAAGACAGUUUUUUGAAGCAGUCUGUCUAAAAAGUCAGUUUAUAUAAAGAAUAUUUUAAAAUAUAUUAUAUUAAGCACAAAAAUCUAAUAAUACAAUUAAAAUAAAACCCUUUUAAAUGAUGUGCGUAGUUAUUGAAAGAGUAAAGGGGGCCAUGAAAAUAUUAUUCAUAAUCCCUUUUUUAGAUUCUGUGAUGAUCUUGAGGAAUUCUGGUGGUUUGAGAGGCCGCUAAGAUUUAGUGGUUUCUGGUGGUUUUCACGGCCUCAUUUGGUGGGCUGGUAAAAAUAAAGUUGGCAACACUAAGCUUGUCAAACUCGUUGGUGCGCUUGUGUUUGUGUGAUUUCAGAUUUUGUUAUUUGUGUUGUUAUAAUUAUAUGAUUCCUAGUUGCCGAUUGCAGAAACUUGCCGAAAGUUGACUAUUUAAUGCUAUUGCAAUAUUAUUAUGCAAUAAAUAUAUUGCAUGCACGAAAAUGAAUGCUACAAUUUUGCAGAAAUACGUAUUGGCAGUGUUGUUUUUGCAGGCUGGUACAAAACAAUAUUUUGGAUCCUUCAUUGGCGUACCUAUAUGUUUCAUUGAAAUCCAUUUUAUUGACGAAAUAAUGUCAAUCAACAGUUGUGAAUAAUAACAAUAAGCAGUGUGUCGAUUCGAUAGGAAAAUAUUGUGUAAAAUCAAUUUCGAUUUCGAAUGUAAAUAAAAGUUACAGCUUCAAGUGACAUUAAACAUUGACAUUUGACACUUGAUGUUUUCAUCUGAAACCAUGAUUGCUAAGGCAAAGGUAACGACUGCAUUCUGCCGUACCUAUGACGUCAUCACAUGUUUUGUGAUUUUAAUUAUUUUUCUCAGAAAUAAAAAAAAAUAUAUGACAUAAAUAUAUUUGAACUCAGGAUACGAAAAUAAAGAAAUGGUAUUUUUGUUUCCAUGUCGUAUCAGUUUUGAAAUGUCAAUUUAUAUUAUUUUUCAAAAAUAUGAAUGGGAUUACAAAAAAAAAAACAUUUCAGAACGCGGCAUUAAAAUUCACAAGAUAGAUCUUGUCUAAAAAGGUCGCAACCCCCGAUUAUAUCACUUUGACAGUAAAUCAAUCAAAUUCGUAUAGUAAUUUCAGUGAAAAUGUGUUAUUCAAAUCCAUAAAUAAUGGUUUCAUAACCCAAACAGAAACGUUUAAAUUACCCAUCAAUAGAAAUGCAUCGUAUAAGUCCAUUUGCCAUAAAAGACGCGUUGCAAUUUUCAAUAGCAUGUGGUAUAUCAUACAAUUUUUUUAGUAUCGUCUUAGAUUAUAUUGAUCCACCAGAUUUGGACGAGCCAUCACCCGAUUGUAAAUGUUGUAACAAAUGAUAAAGUUAUGAGAAGGAGAACCGAUAAAUUGUGAGUGUCAAGGAAUUUCUGGAUAAUGAAACAUUGUUCGUUAUGUAUGAAAAACAAAGUGGAACAAGAGCUGCAUUAUAUACGGGGUAAUUGCACAACUUGAUUCCCCCUAGUUCCUUCCAUCGAACCACAAGACAAUGGGCGAAGCGCCACCACUUUAUGAGCGUCCUAGACCACGUUAGUGUGCAUAACCAUCGAGAUUUUGAAGAAAAAAAGCCUCGUCCUCCAGACGAUGACUGAAAAAGUAUGAGAAGAACCCAACAGAUAACUAGCGUCAUAGACCAUGUUAGUUUUCACUCCCAUCGGGAUAUGGCAGAAGAGGCUCCACCAUCAGAAGAUGAUGAAGACCGCACUACCGUAUGGAAUAAACCCAACUGGUGGGAUAAACGAAACCGAUAACUAGCGUCAUAGACCGUGUUAGUUUUCACUCCCAUCGGGACCUGGCUGAAGAGGCUCCACCUGAUGACGAGAUAGACUGUAAAAACGUAUGGGACGACCCCCACCGAUAACUGAUAAGUAUUCAGAGGUUGCGGCGGUGGUGGUAUGUGGUAGAAAUAUGGUGGCGUGUACAUCAAGUCUUCGAGCCCUGGAGUUAUGGGCGUACCCCGUGAUGGGACCAUGGACCGCACAGUGCCAUACAAACUCCUGUGACGAGUCUUCCCGUGAACAUUCAUCAUCACACCGAAUUCACACUGGCUCAACAGUUUUGCACGAUUACACGGUCACGUUAAGAAAAUAGUUUUGUGGAAACUGCGCGUAAAUAAAACAGAUCACAUCGACCCGUAAGUUAAGAUAGCGAAACUCAAUCUUAAAGUACAACUUAAUUUUUAUAUAAAUAAAAAAUAAGCUACCGAA